UUGUAAUACUCUUUUCACAAAGAUAUUCUUUCUAGGCUGGCGUCUGCCUAAUAUGACAUCUUUACCAAGAACCGUGAUAGACUUUGCACUACAGGCUCUGUGCACAGUGGCCGUAUUUUCCCUGUGCGGAACGGAGCUAGUCGAGCGCAAACGAUAUUUAUCGCCCUAUCAAGAUGCCUGGAAGGCACUAACAGCGCCAGGAAGGUACUACCUUUAUAUGAGAUCCUAUGCGGAAGAGCCAUUUUACGGAAAGGGAAGCAAGUGCAUUUUUAAUGAUCUCAUUUCUGUAAACAAUAAGGAAAACUACACAACAAACAUAUUUGGAUACACGAAUCCAAGGGAUGGCUCUGUAAAAAACCGAACUGUGUACGCAUGGGCACUUGCUUCGGAAGGCUAUGCCACUGCAAACGUGAUCGAAUCUUCAUCGUCAUUAGGUUAGUCGCACUCACAUGUAAGCCGCUGUUUGCAUUCCCGGUGACAAUAAUUAUUGUUGGGUUCUCGCGUGCUAAAACCGCGACAUACAUAUGAGACAUGCCAUAGUCGAGAACCCCGGAUUAAUUUCGAUAACCGGGGGUUCUUAAACGUAUCAAAUAUAGGUACCCGAGUGUUCCUGAUUUCGACUCCGUAGAAAUGCCGCCGCCGAUAGCCGCGAAUCGAACCCGCGUCCUCGCGCUUAGCAGCCCGAUAACACAUCUGCUAAGAUAGUACUCCAAAAAUAUAUAUGCAGGGAUAAGUUUGGGGCAUGUGCUUUUUCCUACCUUUUUUGCAAGCUUCUGCAGAAUAGCGGAAAGAAAGGGCU
rnacentral:lncRNA from 1 species